GCCUGGGUGGCUCAGUCCGUUGAGCAUCUGAUUUUGGCUCAGGUCACGAUCUCAAAGUUCGUGGGUUCAAGCCCUGUGCCAGGUU
rnacentral:tRNA from 1 species